UACAGGGGGUGCAAACGUUGCUCGGAAUCACUGGGCGUAAAGGGCGUGUAGGCGGGUAGAUAAGUCGGGCGUGAAAUCCCUAGGCUCAACCUAGGAACUGCACUCGAAACUGUUUAUCUUGAGUGCCGGAGAGGAAAGCGGAAUUCCUGGUGUAGAGGUGAAAUUCGUAGAUAUCGGGAGGAACACCGGUGGCGAAGGCGGCGACCUGGGACAAUACUGACGCUGAGGUGCGAAAGCGUGGGGAGCAAACAGG
rnacentral:rRNA from 1 species